AGUUAAUGAACUUGAACAAGUAUAUGUUUUGAAAACAUAAAAUAGAAAUUUUAAUUUUCUAUUAACUU
rnacentral:tRNA from 2 species